CGCGCGAAUCGGAGCGCAUACGAUUGCGUUUCAGUUUCUUUGAAACGAAAUAAUGUUGUCUAUUUUCAAGUUAAUGUGAGCAAAAGCAUUUGUGCAAAAUUCUGGCGCGGAUAAAAAAAGCCUAUAGUUUAGAAACAAUGCGUUUCCGCAAUUAUAAUCGUGAGGUGUGAUGUUUUUUCGUCUUCAAGACCAUAUUUUUGUUGCUUGUCGAUAUACGCAUGCAGCUGAAAUACAUUCCGACAGCGGAGACAGCGGACCUCCGUGCUAGUUUUUCUCUCGCGAUAAUGUCGCGAUAAAGAAGAGAAAUGAACAUUGACGAGUCCUCGAAAAAGUGACGUCAUUACUAUCGUGUAGCCUCUGACCUCGUGUAUGCUCGUUUCCAUCCAUUCAAGACUUAUUUCCAGUGUUGUUCAGAUGCAACGCCGAUCGCGAUGCAGUUACACAUAUAUCAGUCACAUUUUCGUGCGAGCUUACAAAACAAAUAUCAGCUGCAACAAUCUUAGAAGAAUUUAUGGAGCCUGGGAAGCAGAGAUCAGUGUGACGAGUCUGUUGUUCGCCGUGCGGCAACCGGAUAGGUGUUGUGCGGCAUUAUUAGUCGAGACGGAACAUGGUGGAGGGAUGGAUGGUAUGGGACAGGAAUUGCUUGGAAUUGGACUGUGGCGGAGACUGAGAACCCACGAUCUCGGAUGACGGGUCCGGACCGGGAUGCUUCUUCGUCGGUUCGUUGCGCCAUGGCGCUUCGCCGAUUCUCCACCAAUGGUGGGGCCUUAUACAAGCCCCUGUGGGAAAUACGAUCGCGCGCUUUAAUGGAAUAUCACGAAAAUUAGCGUCCAAGAAUAUCGAAACAGCUAUAUCAGGUAUCACGCACCGAGGCCACCCAUUCGCCGCCGAUCUUUCGUACUUAAUAGAGUUUGCUGAAAUUAUCGCCGAUGAAUGUUUUGCACCGGUUAACCCUUGACACAAAGGAGCAGGUAAACCUUGAGGAAUGCGCAUCUGGCAGAGCCAGCCAAGAAUAACACUGUCUUUGCACAUUCUUCGAGAUACUUGUAUAAACAUCCGUUUAGGAUACUAGAAAUUGUCAAAAAUUAGACCGUAAAAAAUAAAUACACAAUAAAUAAAUAUAAAAUAAAACUUGUA
rnacentral:lncRNA from 1 species